AUUGAACGCUGGCGGCAGGCCUAACACAUGCAAGUCGAGCGAGUGGCGGACGGGUGAGUAAUGUCUGGGGAACUGCCCGAUGGAGGGGGAUAACUACUGGAAACGGUAGCUAAUACCGCAUACCAUCGGAUGUACCCAGAUGGGAUUAGCUAGUAGGUGGGGUAACGGCUUACCUAGGCGACGAUCCCUAGCUGGUCUGAGAGGAUGAUCAGCCACACUGGGAAUGAGACAGGGCGCAGACUCCUACGAGAGGCAGCAGUGGGGAAGUGUGCACAAUGGGCGCAAGCCUGAUGCAGCCAUUCCGGGUGUAUGAAGAAGGCCUUCGGGUUGUAAAGUACUUUCAGUCGGGAGGCGUUACCGACAGAAGAAGCACCGGCUAACUCCGUGCCAGCAGCCGCGGUAAUUC
rnacentral:rRNA from 1 species